rnacentral:rRNA from 1 species
CGGGUGAGUAACACGUGGGUGACCUGCCCUUAGCUCUGGGAUAAGCCUGGGAAACUGGGUCUAAUACCGGAUAUGACUCAUGACGCAUGUUGUGGGGUGGAAAGCCUUGUGCGGCUAGGGAUGGGCCCGCGGCCUAUCAGCUUGUUGGUGGGGUGAUGGCCUACCAAGGCGACGACGGGUAGCCGGCCUGAGAGGGCGACCGGCCACACUGGGACUGAGACACGGCCCAG